rnacentral:misc_RNA from 1 species
AUAUAAUCAACCUUCUCUUGUUUUGAGAACGGUUUGGAUGUGGGGGGUUUGCUGGCCUCUCUCAAAAGGGUUCAGCUCCCCUGAAAUGCAUUAGCAGAACAACCUUUGCUCAUUGGUGUGAUAACUAUCUACGCUUAUGAAUAUGAGGGGCAGUUCAGCUUUCUAACGGUCUUUGGACAAUUCAUCAUUA